rnacentral:rRNA from 1 species
UACGUAGGGGGCUAGCGUUGUCCGGAAUCAUUGGGCGUAAAGCGCGUGUAGGCGGUCCGGUAAGUCCGCUGUGAAAGUCGGGGGCUCAACCCUCGGAAGUCGGUGGAUACUGUCGGGCUCGAGUACGGAAGAGGCGAGUGGAAUUCCUGGUGUAGCGGUGAAAUGCGCAGAUAUCAGGAGGAACACCAAUUGCGAAGGCAGCUCGCUGGGACGUAACUGACGCUGAGACGCGAAAGCGUGGGGAGCAAACAGG